UCUGAUGCGGGUGAGGAAGGUCCGGACGACAAAGGCCCUGGCGAUGACUACUGCGCGUGUGACUUUGUCGGCACAGAGAAAAACGCGAUCUGCUUGGAUUUUGCGGGGCCGAUUCCGGGAGUCGAUAAUGAGGUGCUGUGCUCGCCCAAGGCUUGCGUGGUGAAGCCUGGCCUGAAGUGUGUGGAAGGCGGUAGCAAGAUUUGCACCACUAAGAUGGUGACC
rnacentral:ribozyme from 1 species